GGACAAAGUAAAAUAAGGUAAAUGUGGUUGAGAGAAACGUAUCACCUCCUGUGAUUAUUUAGUUUUCUCAUGCAUAUGAGUGAAUUGUAUGGGCAUAUAACUUCAGCCAUUACAACACCUUUAUAUAUUUUGUAAUAGGAACUCCUUCAGUGACUAAUCGGAUGAAUACAAUGAUGAAAAUAUUUGAAAAUCAGACAACUAUGUUAGAAAAAGCUUUAAGUGAUCAGACUGAAGCUGAGGCUAAAUAUAAAAAAAUGGAAACUAAUGUUCAACUGUUAGUAAUGGAGAAAGCCCUCCUGAAAGGUGAAAUACGAAGGCUGAGAGAAAUACAGAAAGCAAAGGCUACAAGCAAAGAAGUGCGACCCAAGAAAUCUGGAAAAUCAGAAAAGAAAAAAGAUAGGUAAGGCAUGAAGAUAUGUGAUCUUUUCUUUCCUAAAGUUGUAAAACUGUACCUUAG
rnacentral:lncRNA from 1 species